rnacentral:rRNA from 1 species
AGUGAAUAGAUACCCAGGUAGUCCCAGCCGUAAACGAUGCUCGCUAGGUGUCAGGCAUGGCGCGACCGUGUCUGGUGCCGCAGGGAAGCCGUGAAGCGAGCCACCUGGGAAGUACGGCCGCAAGGCUGAAACUUAAAGGAAUUGGCGGGGAGCACAACAACGGGUGGAGCCUGCGGUUUAAUUGGACUCAACGCCGGACAACUCACCGGGGGCGACAGCAAUAUGUAGGCCAAGCUGAAGACUUUGCCUGAAUCGCUGAGAGGAGGUGCAUGGCCGUCGCCAGUUCGUACUGUGAAGCAUCCUGUUAAGUCAGGCAACGAGCGAGACCCGUGCCCACUGUUACCAGCAUGUCCUCGGUACGGAU